UACACCGAAGAAUGUCUGGAAGUUUCUACUUUGUGAUCGUUGGUCAUCAUGACAAUCCCAUAUUUGAAAUGGAAUUUCUGCCUCCUGGAAAAGUAGAGUCCAAGGAUGAUCAUCGCCAUCUCAACCAGUUCAUUGCCCAUGCUGCUCUUGAUGUCGUAGAUGAGAACAUGUGGCUUUCUAACAACAUGUAUCUGAAGACUGUGGACAAGUUUAAUGAAUGGUUUGUUUCUGCAUUUGUCACAGCUGGACAUAUGAGAUUUAUAAUGCUUCAUGAUGUAAGGCAAGAAGAUGGAAUUAAGAACUUCUUUAAUGAUGUAUAUGACUUGUAUAUUAAGUUCGCAAUGAACCCAUUUUAUGAACUCAAUUCUCCUAUUCGAUCGAGUGCCUUUGAAAGGAAAGUACAGUUCCUUGGGAAGAAACACCUUUUAAGCUGAAUAAAUACCUUUCCUGAGUGAGUUCUUUUUCUAUACUUCCCUGAUUAUUUGAACUGUAGUUCUUCUGUUUAGCCCUCAGCAUGUUUGAUACUCAUAUUCUGAAGAUCGACAAAUUGGAUUCUGAAGCAGCUUGCUUUUUUUUUUUUUUGGCCAAUACAGAAAAGAAUAACCAAGCUUCUCUGAAAAUAGUAAAUUUCAGGAAUUUCUUUU